rnacentral:tRNA from 1 species
GUGGGUAUAGCUCCGUGGCAGAACACGUGCUUAGCACGCACGAGGUCCUGGGUUCAAUCCCAGUACCUCCA